AGAGGUCAGAGGCACAUAUACCCUCCAUAAAGCCUUGCACUUGGGUCUGGCCGGUUAGAACAUAGACAAAAGUCUGCAAUGUCAAUGCUGUCAAAGUCAUUGACGCAAAACUAUUUUCAUUUUCAAAACUAUCAGUUUUCAUAUUUUCAUAUAAAAUGAUUAAAUAACGAUUUAUGUUGUUGAAAUAGAUUUAUUGAUUAAUUUUUAAAAUUAAAAAUCCACCGCACAGUAUCUCCGCUCAGACUCGGUUAAAGUUUAAUCCAUUGUACUAAACUAAGAAACAACAAUUAUUUCAAGAGGGUGAACGUGAGCAAAAAAUCCUUGGGCGUCAUAUCAUUUCCUUGGAAAGGCUCAAAAUCAAAAGGCACGGAUCCGCCACAUAAUUGUGACUAGUUGUAGUUUCCCGGUGACCAUCAACAAGACCGCUGCACUGAGCUGUGGAGCAGAAAGUGUCCGACAAUCGGAUAGAUGUAAUAACAACUUUGUCUGUCAUAUAUUCAUGUAAUUUUUAGUUUUUUGGGCUGAUAUAUGUGAUAUGAUUACAAGUUACACUAAUUGCAAUUGUGGAGUAAAAUCAGAUGUGCCAAAGAUCAUGUUUUAGAUAUAUAAAAAUCUAUAUUAAAUGCAAUAAAUAGUAUAUGUAUAUAUAUAUAAAA